UUACUUUAACAGCAUAUAAACUAAAUUGGAAUUAUACAGAGAAUAUUACAAUGGACCCUGCUCAAGGAUGACACACAAAUUCAUGAAGAGUUCCACUUUGAG